rnacentral:rRNA from 1 species
UACGAAGGGGGCGAGCGUUGUUCGGAUUUACUGGGCGUAAAGCGUACGCAGACGGUGAGAAAGGUCGGAUGUGAAAGCCCCAGGCUCAACCUGGGAACUGCAUCCGAAACCAUCUCGCUCGAGUGUGGGAGAGGGAAGCGGAAUUCCUGGUGUAGAGGUGAAAUUCGUAGAUAUCGGGAGGAACACCAGUGGCGAAGGCGGCUCUCUGGACAGUAACUGACGCUGAGACGCGAAAGCGUGGGUAGCAAACAGG